rnacentral:rRNA from 1 species
CGCCAGACUCCUACGGGAGGCAGCAGUGGGGAAUAUUGCACAAUGGGGGAAACCCUGAUGCAGCGACGCCGCGUGAGCGAUGAAGUAUUUCGGUAUGUAAAGCUCUAUCAGCAGGGAAGAAAAUGACGGUACCUGACUAAGAAGCCCCGGCUAACUACGUGCCAGCAGCCGCGGUAAUACGUAGGGGGCAAGCGUUAUCCGGAUUUACUGGGUGUAAAGGGAGCGUAGACGGCUGUGCAAGCCAGAUGUGAAAGCCCGGGGCUCAACCCCGGGACUGCAUUUGGAACUGUGUGGCUGGAGUGUCGGAGAGGCAGGCGGAAUUCCUAGUGUAGCGGUGAAAUGCGUAGAUAUUAGGAGGAACACCAGUGGCGAAGGCGGCCUGCUGGACGAUGACUGACGUUGAGGCUCGAAAGCGUGGGGAGCAAACAGGAUUAGAUACCCCCGUAU